UAGGGAAUCUUCCGCAAUGGGCGAAAGCCUGACGGAGCAACGCCGCGUGAGUGAAGAAGGAUUUCGGUUCGUAAAGCUCUGUUGUUAGGGAAGAAUGGAUAUGUAGUAACUAUACAUAUAAGAGACGGUACCUAACCAGAAAGCCACGGCUAACUACGUGCCAGCAGCCGCGGUAAUACGUAGGUGGCAAGCGUUGUCCGGAAUUAUUGGGCGUAAAGCGCGCGCAGGUGGUUUAAUAAGUCUGAUGUGAAAGCCCACGGCUCAACCGUGGAGGGUCAUUGGAAACUGUUAAACUUGAGUGCAGGAGAGAAAAGUGGAAUUCCUAGUGUAGCGGUGAAAUGCGUAGAGAUUAGGAGGAGCACCAGUGGCGAAGGCGGCUUUUUGGCCUGUAACUGACACUGAGGCGCGAAAGCGUGGGGAGCAAACAGGAUUAGAUACCCUGGUAGUCCACGCCGUAAACGAUGAGUGCUAAGUGUUGGUCUCAUAAGAGAUCAGUGCUGCAGCUAACGCAUUAAGCACUCCGCCUGGGGAGCACGACCGCAAGGUUG
rnacentral:rRNA from 1 species